UUCAUUUUCAAUAUUAUUCGUUACCGUUUCAUUUUUAAAUGUAUCUCUCAUCGAUCGUCGUGUCACGCAUCCUUCUUCCUCGAUUUCCUGAGAUCGUUGCCUUUUGUACCAUGCAAAUAACCAUAGUUUUUUAUUCAAUUUUUACUGUGCUUUUAACAUUUCCAUACUUUUGUAUGUUGAUUGUUUUUUUUUUUUUUUUUUUUUUAUUGAUCUCCUGCUAAGAAAUAUGGACUUGUCACUAAAUUAUAAAGUACAAAAUCCAAGUUUUGAACCUUACGAUCUUCAUUUUUUAAUAACUUUUGUUUCGGUUAGGUAAAAAAAAUACAAUCGAUCGUACAAGAAAGAACUUUAUUUAUUUAAUGAACAAUAUUAAAUUGAUGUGCUCAUGGAGGAGCAGCCGGAGACAAACUGUCAACACUGUUGAAGCCAUAUAUAAAUAUGUAUAAUUACUUCAACACGACUUCAUAAAAAACGCGAAGCUUCAAUCUCAAGAAUUUUAUUCGUUAAACAUGCACACGAAAUAAAUUCGCUGUGCGAACGACGCAAUUAUUAUUCAAGCUAGUCCAGAGAAUGUUGAUUUUCCUCAUUUCUGCGAAGUAAUGUCUCAAAAUAAAAUCUAAAACCUUUUUAAAAAGUUAGUAGUCGUUAAAUUUCACUCAAGUUAGCGAAACCCUCUUCUUGACAUGAGCAAUUGGAAGUUCAGUACAAGUCGUCGACACAGCUUCCAGCUCCUGCAAACUAAAAUAAUGAAGCUUUCAGCGAAUAUCUCUCAUCUUUUAAAUAAAAUAUCGCUCAUAGACAGCCAGUUAAAAGUUUGUGAAGAGUGCUGAGAAAAAUCUCGAAGGCAUUUUAAAUACCAUUUCGCCACCCAAGAACAUGAAUAAAUUAGCAAAGUAAAUAGCUUUCGAAAGGUAGAUAAUCCAGCUCUAUUUCUUUUGUUUGAAAAUUCGAAAAACAUUCGAUGCAUCAUUUGGAGACUUUUUCGUUUGAAUUUUUCGAAACUUCUCGAUGAGUCAAGCUCAAGGCCAAAAAAUAGAGGAAACAAUAUAACAAUGAAAAAUUCCAACAGAAACGGACUGAAGCUGGAUUAAUAUUCUCCCGAAAUGCAUUGAUUCGAAUCGCGCAUGUACACUAGCGACAAAAUGUUAUUGAAAAUAGCCCCGAGACUUUUCCAAUAUUGUUCUGCAGUUUUCCACCAAUAUUUCAUAUAAUUUUCUAUAUUCCUAGAAUGAAUUGUGUUUGUGAUUGAAGAGAAAAAAAAACAGUAACGGGUGGUUCAGUUUCUGGAAAUUAUCAUUCACAUAUUUGAUGUCACGAAAUUUCCAAGAAUGCUAUAACUUUUCCUCUCGCUUUCCCUCUCUUUCUCUCUCCCGGCCUAAUUUUUACUCACGUCGCCUUCGCCUCGGUAAAGUCUUUUUGACAUAAUUAAAAGCGGGAUGUAAUUAACUUUGCGUGACAACGUCUAAAGCUUCAUUUUAUAGUGAAAAUUCGCUGCGAAGAAUUUUUCAUUCAAAGUGAAAUUCUUGUUGGCGUAAAAUGAAUUCCAACUCUCAUUCAUACACUUCCGAGAGAAAACAAUAUUAUAAGUAGAAAAUAUGACGGUGCAAUAAUUCUGCAUCGGAGUUUCUUUUUUCCUCUCCACAUUUCCAUCUGGUUGGAGCACAGAACGGAUUUGUUGAAGAAUCGAAACUCAGAUUCGUUGUAUGUGCCACUGCGCGGCCCGCUCCCACCCUCGGACCUUCCGGUGCGUCCUCCGGUAACUCCACCACGAUCCCUGAGUCCCGUGUACAAGACAGUGCAAUUUCGUUCACCUUCGAGAGAACCACGACGUGAUUCCCCCAUGAGAUCCGCACCACCCUCGAGCAUCAGCGUCGAAAACGUGACUGUUACAUAAGAUAACACAACGCAGGAAUAAACGAGAAACGAACUGGUCAGGCGAAAAUAACGAAGCGCGGGUUUGAGUGAUGGAAAAAGCAUUGGAAAGCCCCGGGAGCCAUCGCGCGUCAUCAAGCAACCCGCUAUUGGCAGCCCUCCCAUAGCAAAUUUCAACGAUGGCGCGAUGACGCACGAUUCAUCACGAAUGAACCGAGAAUCUUGUCAAAAUGACCCUCCCAAAACGAACCGAUCCACUUCUGUGAAGAAUGAGCAAUCAUUUCCCACCGAAUUCAAAAGCCCCUCGAGCUUUCAACCCUCAUAUUUCAAGAUCAACUGGAGAAAUUUUCCGAUAGCGAUAAUAUGGAACUGAAAAUCUAUCUCCCACUUGCACAUCAUCGGCGGUACGCGUUGAAAGUAUCACCUCAUUUCUUUAAGAGUUCCAAAAGCCCCGAUAGCUCCUUUCAUUGUGUGAUAAAAUGGAGAUUUACUGAUAGAUUAGACAAGUCUCAUCAUCAGAAGCUGUUACGUGCCCAGAAAAAAGCCCAUGUCGAAAAAACUUGGUGAUGAAAACAUGUCACGAUCGUAAAAUCGAUAAAUUGACACUCAUCGAAGUAGAAACGAAAUCGAACGUUGAAUCUUGUUUUUUAAAAACCCUCGAGGAUUACGAGGUGCCAGUAAAAUUCAAUUUUUCCCGUUAGCGAAGCGCGAAGGAAACGAUGUAAUAAGAGAAAUAAUGUCAACGAACGCGACUUGACGUUGAAUUUUUUUAAUAUCCGAUGUUCGAUCGAGUAAAAGGUUCCAAGUGUCGCGAGAACGGAUUACCAAGAGUGAAGUAGAAUUGCAGAUGGGGAGCCCUUGAACAGAUAUUGCAUUUUUAGAACUCGAGAAAUAGAGAAGUGACAAAGAUUUAAAAAAAAUAAAAUAAAAUUAAAAAAAAAAAACGAGAGAUGAAGGAAAGAAAAAGAGAGAUUUUGAUGCUCACUCGAGCGUGG
rnacentral:lncRNA from 1 species